CUAUCAGAUGAGCCUAGGUCGGAUUAGCUAGUUGGUGAGGUAAUGGCUCACCAAGGCUACGAUCCGUAACUGGUCUGAGAGGAUGAUCCAGUCACACUGGAACUGAGACACGGUCCAGACUCCUACGGGAGGCAGCAGUGGGGAAUAUUGGACAAUGGGCGAAAGCCUGAUCCAGCCAUGCCGCGUGUGUGAAGAAGGUCUUCGGAUUGUAAAGCACUUUAAGUUGGGAGAAGGGCAUUAACCUAAUACGUUAGU
rnacentral:rRNA from 1 species